rnacentral:rRNA from 1 species
AGUGAACGCUGGCGGUAGGCCUAACACAUGCAAGUCGAACGGCAGCACAGUAAGAGCUUGCUCUUACGGGUGGCGAGUGGCGGACGGGUGAGGAAUACAUCGGAAUCUACUUUUUCGUGGGGGAUAACGUAGGGAAACUUACGCUAAUACAGCAUACGACCUACGGGUGAAAGCAGGGGAUCUUCGGACCUUGCGCGAUUGAAUGAGCCGAUGUCGGAUUAGCUAGUUGGCGGGGUAAAGGCCCACCAAGGCGACGAUCCGUAGCUGGUCUGAGAGGAUGAUCAGCCACACUGGAACUGAGACACGGUCCAGACGCCUACGGGAGGCAGCAGUGGGGAAUAUUGGACAAUGGGCGCAAGCCUGAUCCAGCCAUACCGCGUGGGUGAAGAAGGCCUUCGGGUUGUAAAGCCCUUUUGUUGGGAAAGAAAAGCAGCAGGUUAAUACCCCGCUGUUCUGACGGUACCCAAAGAAUAAGCACCGGCUAACUUCGUG